CAUUAUGGAUGAUGAGAUAUUGAAAUUAACAGUUAUCCCUGUCUGAUUAUUGAUGCUGAUGUUUAUCAACUCUGACAUCUUU